AGUGAACGCUGGCGGUAGGCCUAACACAUGCAAGUCGAACGGCAGCACAGUAAGAGCUUGCUCUUACGGGUGGCGAGUGGCGGACGGGUGAGGAAUACAUCGGAAUCUACUUUUUCGUGGGGGAUAACGUAGGGAAACUUAUGCUAAUACCGCAUACGACCUACGGGUGAAAGCAGGGGAUCUUCGGACCUUGCGCGAUUGAAUGAGCCGAUGUCGGAUUAGCUAGUUGGCGGGGUAAAGGCCCACCAAGGCGACGAUCCGUAGCUGGUCUGAGAGGAUGAUCAGCCACACUGGAACUGAGACACGGUCCAGACUCCUACGGGAGGCAGCAGUGGGGAAUAUUGGACAAUGGGCGCAAGCCUGAUCCAGCCAUACCGCGUGUGUGAAGAAGGCCUUCGGGUUGUAAAGCCCUUUUAUUAGGAAAGAAAAGCAGCAGGUUAAUACCCCGCUGUUCUGACGGUACCCAAAGAAUAAGCACCGGCUAACUUCGUG
rnacentral:rRNA from 1 species